UGCGUAGGCGGCUGCUUAAGUUUGUAGUGAAAUCGUAGAGCUCAACUCUAUUAAGCUACAAAACUGGGUAGCUUGAGUGCGGUAGAGGCUAGUGGAAUUCCUAGUGUAGCGGUAAAAUGCGUAGAUAUUAGGAGGAACACCGGUGGCGAAGGCGACUAGCUGGGCCGUAACUGACGCUGAGGCACGAAAGCGUGGGGAGCAAAUA
rnacentral:rRNA from 1 species